CCUCGCAGUACGUAGCACGGCGAGUGAGCGGGAAGAGCUCAAAUUUGAAAUCUGGUAGCCUUCGGUUGCCCGAGUUGUAAUCUAGAGAAGUGUUUUCCGUGCCGGCCCAUGUACAAGUCCCUUGGAACAGGGCGUCAUAGAGGGUGAGAAUCCCGUCCUUGACAUGGACCCCCGGUGCUUUGUGAUACACUUUCAACGAGUCGAGUUGUUUGGGAAUGCAGCUCAAAAUGGGUGGUGAAUUCCAUCUAAAGCUAAAUAUUGGCGAGAGACCGAUAGCGAACAAGUACCGUGAGGGAAAGAUGAAAAGCACUUUGGAAAGAGAGUUAAACAGUACGUGAAAUUGUUGAAAGGGAAACGAUUGAAGUCAGUCAUGCUCUUAGGAUUCAGCCGUUCUGCGGUGUAUUUCCUUUGAGUGGGGUCAACAUCAGUUUUGAUCGAUGGAUAAAGGCACGAGGAAGGUAGCACUCUCGGGUGAACUUAUAGCCUCGCGUCAUAUACAUUGAUUGGGACUGAGGAACGCAGCAUGCCUUUAUGGCCGGGAUUCGUCCACGUACAUGCUUAGGAUGUUGACAUAAUGGCUUUAAACGACCCGACUUGAAACACGGACC
rnacentral:rRNA from 1 species